rnacentral:rRNA from 1 species
ACGGCUCAGUAACACGUGGACAACCUACCCUGAGGUCGGGGAUAAACCCGGGAAACUGGGUAUAAUACCCGAUAGAUCUAGAUCGCUGGAAUGCUUUUAGGUCUAAAGUUCCGACGCCUCAGGAUGGGUCUGCGGCCUAUCAGGGUAGUAGUGGGUGCAAAGUACCUACUAGCCCACGACGGGUACGGGUUGUGAGAGCAAGAGCCCGGAGAUGGAUUCUGAGACACGAAUCCAGGCCCUACGGGGUGCAGCAGGCGCGAAACCUUUACAAUGCUGGCAACAGCGAUAAGGGGACCUCGAGUGCUACGAUACAAUCGUGGCUGUCUAGUUGCCUAAAAAGCAAUUGAUAGCAAGGGCCGGGCAAGACCGGUGCCAGCCGCCGCGGUAACACCGGCGGCUCGAGUGGUAACCGCUAUUAUUGGGUCUAAAGGGUCUGUAGCCGGCUUAGUUAGUCUCUUGAGAAAUCUGGCCGCUCAACGGUCAGGCGUUCAGGGGAUACUGCUAAAGCUCGAGACCGGGAGAGGUGAGAGGUACUUCAGGGGUAGGGGUGAAAUCUUGUAAUCCUUGAAGGACCACCAGUGGCGAAGGCGUCUCACCAGAACGGAUCUGACGGCAAGGGACGAAAGCUAGGGGCACGAACCGGAUUAGAUACCCGGGUAGUCCUAGCCGUAAACGAUACUCGCUAGGUGUCGGCCACGGUGCGACCGUGGUCGGUGCCGUAGGGAAGCCGUGAAGCGAGCCACCUGGGAAGUACGGCCGCAAGGCUGAAACUUAAAGGAAUUGGCGGGGGAGCAC